AAUCCCCACUCGUGACUGCAACUAUGCCUAUCAGUAAGGACCUCAGAAAGAAACACCUUGAAAGCGCUUUCUUGUGUGCUCGAAAUGCCGUGCAAUUUACUACAAAACCCAGAGGAAUUUUUCUCCAGGGAAAAACCCGCUUGCAGCAACAUUCUUUCAUUUCNUAAUGGAGGGGAGNGAUUUGUCCAGCCCUGGAUGGUGCCAUUUCCUGUUUAAUUCAAAAGGAAAGUGUGAUUGUUCCNCUAAAGAACGCACUGGANGACUUCACUGGGAGAACCUGGUGGAUAUCUAAAAUGGCAAUGAUGAAAGNGGGUCUCCUAUUGCUACUAGCUGUAUUUCUUCACAUUUUAGAAGGGUUUGUUUCAAUAGAGAGGAUUUCUGAAAAGAUGGUUUCGAUCUACGAUGAAGAUCAUGAGAAUUAUUCCAUUUACUACAACGACAGUGAAGAUUUCUUCUNUUCCUAUUAUUAUUAUGACGAUAACUUCACCUAUUCCGUUGAAAAUGGCACAGUGGUUUAUCCUCUGACUGCAACUCCAUCACAAAAAGUAAGCCACACUCAAGAGAAGCUGUGUCUNUGUACAGAUUAGAUGUCCCUAGUAUGAAGUAAAGCUACGAUGGAAAACAAAGAUACAGAAAAUGCAUAAAUCUGUAAAUUGUGGAGUUUUCACAAAGAACCACUGCAUCUUGAUAGCAGACAUCAAAGUGACAAUUAAAUAGAAACAUGAACAUAUGCAUAUAUACCACCUUUGAACUUAGAGAAAAAGAUAUCAUCCUUUUCUUUGAUUUCCUAAUUUUUCAGUGACAAUGACAGAUAUAUUUUAUGCCGUGAACCUACUANAGAGAGAGAGAGUUUUCACAGCUGAGCUGGCUGCUCACUUAUCAGUCACAGUGCUAAUUUCC
rnacentral:lncRNA from 1 species